rnacentral:rRNA from 1 species
CCCAGACUCCUACGGGAGGCAGCAGUGGGGAAUAUUGGACAAUGGGGGGAACCCUGAUCCAGCGACGCCGCGUGAGUGAAGAAGUAUUUCGGUAUGUAAAGCUCUAUCAGCAGGGAAGAAAGAAAUGACGGUACCUGACUAAGAAGCCCCGGCUAACUACGUGCCAGCAGCCGCGGUAAUACGUAGGGGGCAAGCGUUAUCCGGAUUUACUGGGUGUAAAGGGAGCGUAGACGGCAUGGCAAGUCAGAUGUGAAAGCCCGGGGCUCAACCUGGAGACUGCACUUGAAACUGGGUGUCUUGAGGGCAGGAGAGGAAAGUGGAAUUCCUAGUGUAGCGGUGAAAUGCGUAGAUAUUAGGAGGAACACCAGUGGCGAAGGCGACUUUCUGGACUGUACCUGACGCUGAGGCGCGAAAGCGUGGGUAGCGAACGGGAUUAGAUACCCCAGUAC